rnacentral:piRNA from 1 species
UUUAUUUUGCUGGGAGGUCCCAAAC